GGGCCUGUAGUUCAGCUGGCUAGAACGCUUCGCUGGCAGCGAAGAGGUCGUGGGUUCGAGUCCCACCAGGUCCA
rnacentral:tRNA from 1 species